AUGGACGAAGGAAGAAAUUUAGCAACACUUUUCCCGCAGGAUCUCUUGCAAGAAGAAAAUAAUCUCCAAAUUCGACUUGUCAAUUUUAUUUCUCAUGAAAAUAGCAAGUUAACUCAAAGAAUUUAUCACACAAAUAGUCAAUUUGUUAGAACUUGCUUAGUAGUGAAUUGGGAACAAGAAGAAAAAGAAAAGGCUGGUGCUUCCCUUGUUGAGGUAAGAGCAAAUGAUCUUAUUCGCGAUUUCCUAAGAAUUGAGUUAGUCAAGUCCACUAUUUCGUAUACAUGA
rnacentral:rRNA from 1 species